CGGAAGACUAAUGACCGAAGCUUCAAGACUUUGACAUGUGUGAAAACAUGAAAUGACCCUUGGCUCUUAUUGUUCUUGCUGGUGUGGUAUGUUCACGGCUGAAAAGAUGGUCAGAAGGGGAAAGGAGGAAGUGAGAAGAAAGAAACAGGGAAAUGACAGAGUGUUGCUCAGUUACCCAGGCUGGAGUGCAAUGGCAUGAUCUUGGCUCACUGCAGCCUCCACCUCCUGGGUUCAAGCGGUUCUCGUGCCUCAGUCUCCCAAGUAGCUGGGAUUACAGACGAAAUCUUGCUCUGUUGCCCAGGCUGGAGUGCGAUGGCAUGAUCUUGGCUCACGGCAAACUCCGCCUCCCUGGUUCAAGUGAUUCUCCUGCCUCAGCCUCCCGAGUAGCCGGGAUUACAGGCAUGUGCCACCAUGCCCCGUUGGCCAGGCUGGUCUCGAACACCUUACCUCAGGUGAUCCUCCCACCUUUGGGAUUACAGAUCAAUGCUUGAGAUAUUUUGCAGACCCUGCAUGUGAUGGAUCAGCUGACACCAUCCAGAUCGGUAAACUGGUUCAUCUGAUCUUGUGCCCUCCACCCAGGAACUGACUCAGCGCAAGAAGACAGCUUCGACUCCUUGUGAUUUCAUCCCUAACCAAUCAGCACUCCUGGCUCACUGGCUUCCCCCAACCCACCAAAUUGUCCUUAAAAACUCUGCUCUCCAAACGCUGGGGGAGACUGAUUUGAGUAAUAAUAAAACCCUGGUCUCCUGCACAGUUGGCUCUGCGUGAAUUACUCUUUCUCUAUUCCAAUUCCCUUAUUUUGGUGAAUUGGCUCUGUCUACGCAGUGGGCAAGGU
rnacentral:lncRNA from 1 species